CAGCCGUAAACUAUGCGCGUUAGGUGUACUGGUGACCACGAGUCACCGGGGUGCCGAAGGGAAACCGUGAAACGUGCCGCCUGGGAAGUACGGUCGCAAAGGCUGAAACUUAAAGGAAUUGGCGGGGGAGCACCACAACAGGUGGAGCCUGCGGUUUAAUUGGACUCAACGCCGGGAAGCUCACCGGAUAGGACAGCAGAAUGAUUGCCGGGCUGAAGACCCUGCAUGACUAGCUGAGAGGUGGUGCAUGGCGUCAGUGACU
rnacentral:rRNA from 1 species